AACGCACAUUGCGCCCGCCAGUAUUCUGGCGGGCAUGCCUGUCCGAGCGUCAUUUCCCCCCUCACGCGCCCCGUUGCGCGCUGGUGUUGGGGCCCCUCCGCCUGGCGGAGGGCCCCGAAAGCGAGUGGCGGGCCCGGCUGGUUGGCUCCGAGCGCAGUACCGAACGCAAGUUCUCCCCUCGCCCGGACGCCCCGCCGGCGCCCUGCCGUCAAAACGCGCAUGACGUGCAACUCUUUUUUACAAGGUUGACCUCGGAUCAGGUAGGACUACCCGCUGAACUUAA
rnacentral:misc_RNA from 1 species